AUUGAACGCUGGCGGCAGGCUUAACACAUGCAAGUCGAGCGGGGAAGAGUAGCUUGCUACUUGACCUAGCGGCGGACGGGUGAGUAAUGCUUAGGAAUCUGCCUAUUAGUGGGGGACAACAUCUCGAAAGGGAUGCUAAUACCGCAUACGUCCUACGGGAGAAAGCAGGGGACCUUCGGGCCUUGCGCUAAUAGAUGAGCCUAAGUCGGAUUAGCUAGUUGGUGGGGUAAAGGCCUACCAAGGCGACGAUCUGUAGCGGGUCUGAGAGGAUGAUCCGCCACACUGGGACUGAGACACGGCCCAGACUCCUACGGGAGGCAGCAGUGGGGAAUAUUGGACAAUGGGGGGAACCCUGAUCCAGCCAUGCCGCGUGUGUGAAGAAGGCCUUUUGGUUGUAAAGCACUUUAAGCGAGGAGGAGGCUACCGAGAUUAAUACUCUUGGAUAGUGGACGUUACUCGCAGAAUAAGCACCGGCUAACUCUGUGCCAGCCGCCGCGGUAAAAC
rnacentral:rRNA from 1 species